CUUUUGUAGUGUAUGAAAUGCUCACAGCACAGAUUGCACCAAAGAGGCAGCAUCUGUGAUGCGGGCUGUGUUGUGAGCAUUCCUUACACUACAAAAG